CAGAAGCAGCCAUCAUUUAAAGAGUGCGUAAUAGCUCACUAGUCGAGUGACCCUGCGCCGAAAAUUUACCGGGGCUAAAUAGUACACCGAAGCUGUGGAUAGAACCUUAGGGUUCUAUGGUAGGAGAGCGUUCUAAGGGCGUCGAAGCUAGACCGUGAGGACUAGUGGAGCGCUUAGAAGUGAGAAUGCCGGUAUGAGUAGCGAAAGACGGGUGAGAAUCCCGUCCACCGUAUGACUAAGGUUUCCUGGGGAAGGCUCGUCCUCCCAGGGUUAGUCGGGACCUAAGCCGAGGCCGAUAGGCGUAGGCGAUGGACAACAGGUUGAUAUUCCUGUACCAGUUUCUUUUGUUUGAACAAUGGAGGGACGCAGGAGGCUAAGAAAUGCGCACUGUUGGAUAUGUGCGUCUAAGCAAUGAGUCUUGAGGUGAGUUAAAUGCUUGCUUCUAUACGGACAAGUUGUGAUGGGGAGGGAAAUUACAGUACCGAAGUUUCUGAUGUCACACUGCCAAGAAAAGCUUCUAGUUAGAAAGAAAUUGCCCGUACCGCAAACCGACACAGGUAGUCGAGGAGAGUAUCCUAAGGUGUGCGAGAGAACUCUCGUUAAGGAACUCGGCAAAAUGACCCCGUAACUUCGGGAGAAGGGGUGCUGAUCGAAAGAUCAGCCGCAGUGAAUAGGCCCAAGCGACUGUUUAUCAAAAACACAGGUCUCUGCAAAAUCGAAAGAUGACGUAUAGGGGCUGACGCCUGCCCGGUGCUGGAAGGUUAAGAGGAUUGGUUAGCUUCGGCGAAGCUAAGAAUUGAAGCCCCAGUAAACGGCGGCCGUAACUAUAACGGUCCUAAGGUAGCGAAAUUCCUUGUCGGGUAAGUUCCGACCCGCACGAAAGGCGUAACGAUUUGGGCACUGUCUCAACGAGAGACUCGGUGAAAUUAUAGUACCUGUGAAGAUGCAGGUUACCCGCGACAGGACGGAAAGACCCCAUGGAGCUUUACUGCAGUUUGAUAUUGAGUGUUUGUACAGCUUGUACAGGAUAGGUAGGAGCCAUAGAAGUCAGGACGCCAGUCUUGAUGGAGGCAUUGGUGGGAUACUACCCUUGCUGUAUGACCACUCUAACCCUAGCCACUAAUCGUGGCUGGAGACAGUGUCAGACGGGCAGUUUGACUGGGGCGGUCGCC
rnacentral:rRNA from 1 species